rnacentral:lncRNA from 1 species
ACGUACACUUAGGUCAUCAUUUCUUUAUCUUUCACUGCUAGUUACCGACAACUUAGAAAAUGAGACUCCAGAACUGUGCCCACUUACGAGCUUCGGGAAGAAAUGUGAGACGGUUCCUUGUGAAGCAUUAUGGAUGUUGGUAAGUCGCACCUCCGCUGUUGCAGGUACUACCUGUCGAGGCUCCAGAAGGCUCAGGCAGUGGAGUGGGAUCUCCUCGCGGGAGUGUGUGCUUCCAUUCUGUUCGCCCGUCUUCUGAACCACGCUCAGGUAACCUGGCCCCCGGUGGUCCUGCCGAGUAUCAGCUCAAGGGGAAUCAUGACGCUGAACACGGACUAGAAACGCCCGCUGUGAGCCAGCCGGCAGCCACAGUGCAUGGUGGCACGAGGCGACGGGCACGGGCCUUGAAGCCCAGGCUGGGCCCCUCCUGUAUUGUCUUGGCUGACAUGUUUCGAUUGAGAUUUCUGAGCGAGAGUUGUCCAGUUGACCUCAGCUUUGCUGUAACUGCCACCAAGCAGUGGGAUCUUCUCCCCACACGCGCGGGCUGCUCCACACCCCUGUCCUCUUUUCCGCGGCCUUAGAAAUCACGACGCGUCCCGAGACGUGCCAGCGAGGGGCCCCCGGGGUUUCGGGUCCACUUUCAGUGUGGUGAGCGUGCUUCUCAGCUGUAACUCUCAGGCCGGGCUUUUUUCUUUCUUUCUGUCUUUUUCCAUUUACUCAGUGUUUAUUUGGUCCUUAGUCCAAACCCCUGCUACUGAGGAAGACAUGUUCCUGCCUCUCAGGGAGCACAGAGAAGCGUAAACGGACAACGCGACGUUGUGCUGGGAACACGGGGCCCCGGGCGAGACCAAGGGUGCUGUGACACGGGGAUCUAUUUGCAGGCUUGGUGUGGAGUCGGGGUCGCUCGGGGCUAGCUUCCCAGAGCUGAGCCAGAUGGGAGUAAGAGGAAGGAGAAGGGGCAGCAGGGAAGGCAACAGACGAUGCUGCAGGGAGGGAAGCAGUGCCUGCAGAGGUCCAGGGUCUGGAGGGAGGGUGGAGAAUUCCAGAAGCUGAUGCCGGGCAGCUCAGUCUGACCAGAGUUUGGAGUGCAGAGAGAUGCGGGGAUUGGGGCUCUCUCCACCCGGAUGGUAGUGUCCUGAAUUUAGUGUCCACACGUCUGUUAACCUCUGAAGUUUCUAGGUUCCUGUCCUAGACUCUGAUGGCGUUUUAGCAAUGGUCAUAAAACAAUGAUAAUAAUAACAAAUCCGUGUAAAGUCCUUUGAAUGUUUUGUGUUGCAUGCAGUGACUCUUUGAAUCUUUAUUAGAACGUUUUGAAGGAAUAAGUCAAGGGAUACGCAGCCCAGUUUGUAGUUUAGGAAAACCGAGAAGUAGGAGACGUUGUGAUUUACCCCACUUGUGGGGGCCGAAGCUGAAACUGCAGUCUCUUGCCUACAAAUCCCACACUCUUUCCCCAUAGACAGGUUGCGUUGGCCGAUUAGGCUGCAAGGAGACAGUUUUGUAUUCCCUUGCAGAAAACGCAAAACACAAAACACUGUUUCAGCCAUGCUGCCUGGCUGCCAUCAGGCCAGGUGUGGCCUGUGGCCCCAGGUUUUGGCGAAUGCCCCUUGGUCGUGCGCGUGCGCGGGGAGAGCAGAACGGCCUGCGCAGGUGGGACCCCGGUGGACGCAGGUCAGAAAGUGAGGGAUCGUCCACACCAGGCCUCCGUCCCCGACAAAACCCACCGUUGCAGAGUCUGGCCCUUCAUUGGCCCUUUGACCCUCAGCAAACUCCCCCAGGAGCGGAGCUGAAAGGCGGUGUUCGCUAGAACACAUUGGCCGUCCAGGCCCUGUCCCGAGGUUUGCAGGUUCACGUUCGUCUUGUUACAGACUCUACAGAAACCAACCUGGUUGUGGACGGGAUUCUGACUGUUCAGGAGGACGGAGGUGGAGGGCGGAGAAAGCCUGAGAUGAUCAUCUGAUUUUUUUCCCCACUCUGAACACCAGCAUUUCGCCUCUUUCCAGCUAGGAAGGAGUCUCCCAUCACAGGCACUCAAACAGAGCGAUGCUUUCGGGAAUAACCACCUCCUCAGCCUGCGUGUGCGGCAACAUAUAACACGUGUAAAAUGUGCGCACCGGGCCACGGGAGCACCCGGCCCGGAGCCCCUCCUCACUGAGUAGGACCGUUCAACGUCGCCUCGGUCCCACAUGCUCCUCUUUCUGUUCGUAGCAAAAUUCAGCCAUUUUCUGCUCCCGUGUUUUUCUACACUGGAUCUAGCCCUUCUUCGGCGGAGAAAUUCUAUCACUGAAGUCCUUGGUCUUUGAACCCGAAAAGUCCCCAAGAUCCAUUCUCUAUGGACAUGUCGUUCAUCUCCAAUGUGCUCACAGAAGUGCUUACAGCCUGCAUCUCUCUGCUUAAUCCCGGACAGCCAUUCCUUCGUUCAUUCAUUCCCUCGUUCAUUCAACUAUCAGUGAGUACCUAAUGCGUGCCGGGCAUUGAAGAUAAAAUGGUAACCACUUUACCACCCCUCUCUCCAUCUUUUUUUUAAGAGCAUAGAGCUACUGUCAAUAGCAGUAAUAAUAAAAACAAGGCCUGUGCCUUCAAGAAGUGUGUAGUUAGUAGGAGAGGUAAGUAACCAGACAGACUCGAGGCAUGGUCGCUGAAUGAAUGAAACCACGUCUGGGACAGUGGAGGGGCAGUGCAGGACGGGUUUACGGCCCAGGAACAGGCAGUCGGGGACCCUGUCGUCCUGCAGGACCUAAGACAAGGGCUUUGGCACAUGCGGUUUAUAGAGGGCAUGCCCUGAGGAGAGAGGGAGUAGGGAAGAACAGGGGGCAGGGGAAUAAGGAUAAGCAGGGAGACUAACUUCAGCUGAAAACAACAGCUGUUUCCUAAGCUCACGGUUCUGCUGGGCCGUUCCAGUCUGGACCAGACUCUGCUGAUGUCGGCGGGGCGUACUCAUGUCUGAGGUCGGUCGGUCAGUCAGCUGAGGCUGCCGGUUCCAGAGAAACACACGUACUCUUUGUACCACAGAGUUGGCCUCGCCUUGAGUCGGGGGGGGGGGGGGG